rnacentral:tRNA from 1 species
GGUUGUGGCUCAGCGGUAGAGUGCUUGCCUAGCACGAUCAAGGUCCUGGGUUUGAUCCUCAGCACCA